CACCCGAUAACUCUCACUUCUUCCUUCCCCAGGAUUUAAGCGUUUACUGUGGAAAGGGAUAUCGUAACUAUUGUCUUCAUUUCCCCUUUCCUCUCUUUCUCCUUCCAUCCCUAGAGAGUGACAGGAUUACGCGGUCAGAUCUGGGAAGUCUGUCUCGGGCUGAGCGAGCGCCAAUAGGCACCAUGAAAUGGAUCAAGGUGUCAAGACCAAGGGUAAAGAGGUACCUGAAGUGUCAUACUCGACAGGGAAGCAGACAGGGAGUGGCCAAAGAUGACAGGUGUCUCCAUGAAGGAUGCGGGGACCCAGGAGCAGACAGAGUACAGGACCCAAUGCAGGAUCCACAUUCAUUUCUCCUUAUUCAUCUCCAAUCUGGGAAAUACUCGGACUCUUUGAAGAAUUGUACCGGCCAGGUUUACUUAUUUAUUUUGAGAGCGAGAGAAAUUGUGAAUGGAGGAGGGGCCGAGAGAGGGAGAGAGAGAGAGAAUCCCAAGCAGACUCUGCACUGUCAGCACAGAGCCAGAUGCGGGGCUCGAACCCACCAACCAUGAGAACGUGAUUGAGCCAAUGUCUGCAGCUUAACCAACUGAGCCACCCAGGCACCCCUGCAGCAACCUUAUGACCAUGAAGGACAGAUAAAAGUAGUGGCAUUGCUCUUUACGUCUUUAGACUGAAGAAGCAAAACCAGUAACCAUUGACUUUUGAACAUCUUGCUGUGUAGGAAUACAAAUCCAUGUUGGUGGAAGCCAUUGUAGCCGGAUUCCUCCUACCUGUGUGGCUAAAAUAUUCCUGACUCACACUCCAAUAGACCAGAGAAGCAAAAAUUGCUCUUUGAUCUAUUCAGAAAAGCUUCAUCGAGAAGGGAGAUUGCAAGAUCAUUUUUAUACCAGGAGAAAUGAAUGGAGAUAUCUGCAUUAGAAGAAAUGGAAACUCCCACGAUUCAGUGCUGCUUUGGAUGCUGUUUGCAGGUGGGGAUAAGGACUGUGUUUGUGGUUGUUUCCCACUGGCAUGGUAGCCUCAGCUGACGUUUUCCCCAUCCAUUCAGCUGCUGUAGCCUCAUGGUCUAAAAACAGUAAGUACCACAUCUGAGACACAAUUACUGGGGCAUAAUCAUGCCCAAUGAACGAAUGGCACGGACACAUUGUUAUUCACGUGCUUUUAGGAAUAAUACUUUGUUUCUCUUUAUUUUUCACUGGGACCAUGGGAAGAUUCCCCAGAGGUCUGUGAUCCCUAACAGGCAGUCCAUUUUUUAUACUGCUGCUCGAAUCAUGUCCUUACAUAAAAGUUAGGCCACGGAGGCUUCCUGCUUCAAACCACUACCAGUUGGCAUUCAGUACCGAAAAGUAAUCGCCAUGAAGGUAUGGGCCCGCCGCUGUAGUCUGGCUCGUGUCUCCCAGACGAAGUAUUAUGGGUGUUCAAGUCUGUUGAAUUAUUAAUCAAGCCAGUAACACCUGCUUCAGACUUUCUAAUAUGAUGUAUUUGAUAUGAGCGUAUUCUUAAUAGAGACAUUUGGACUGCUUCUAAGUGCCUUGAAACAGGUGGAACAGAUAACAGUUCAGUCGACUGUGUUAUUUGACAUCAUGUAAAUUCACACUGUGUUCAAGUCAGUAAAUGGAUUUUUGUGUUCAGAAAUUACCUAGAACCUGCCUGGUAUUCACAUAACUGCCGCAAAUGAAGGGAAAAGUGUAUUUUUAUUGGCAAAGAGAAGAACUGCAUGAGUCUCGUGUAAGGAAUCCAAUUCUAAAGUGAAAUAUGAGAGCACGAGUCGUUUGCCUAGAGCCUGGGCCACCCAUACCUGUGCCGGAUCCUGCUCUUCGUCCCCAGGCAAACCGUCAACAGUGGUUUGGAGAUGGGUUUUGUCACACUUUUAUAAGCAAAGAUCUUUGCUAUUACAGGGAUGACUUUUUCAGGAGGUAAGUCUUCUUGGGUGAUACCGAAUUUUUCCCCACGUUCUAAAAGAGAGUGGGGCUCCAGUUACACAGAAUGAUUACAAACAGACUAACAACAAAGAGUUAUCCUCUAGUGUUGUUUUGUUCUUAUGACAAAAAAUAGGGUGUUUGAUCAUUCUGUUCUCUGAGGAAGGUGCCAAAGCAUGAAACCAAAAUAACUCACACCCUUGAACUUUGUAGAUAUUCACAGCAGACUGUUUUGCUUGACCACAUCCAUUUUACUGAUAUCUUUGGAUUCGUGUAGACACUGAUGACUAGAUUUUACUCGGAGGUACUUUGUUCUUUUCUCCCUUCCUGUUUUGCUAUGUUUUAAGAGGGUCUUACUCCCAAUGGGUAGACGUUGCAGAAUCUGCAGACGUUGCAGAAACCCUUCCAUUCUUUUUAGCUGUUCAUCCGUUUGUCGAAAUGUGAGGAUUAAGAACAUCAAACUUCAAAACUGUGUCCUCGGUAAUCAAAAAGUAUUGAAACUAUGAAAAGAUAAAACUAAAUUCAAUUUAUUGCUAGUGAUCGUACUUUUAGGACAUGACGAAUUCACGAAAAUAGAUGUAAUCUUUAA